rnacentral:rRNA from 1 species
GACGAACGCUGGCGGCGUGCUUAACACAUGCAAGUCGAACGGAAAGGCCCCUUUGGGGGUACUCGAGUGGCGAACGGGUGAGUAACACGUGAGUAACCUGCCCUUGACUUCGGGAUAACUUCAGGAAACUGGGGCUAAUACCGGAUAGGAAUCCUUGCUGCAUGGUGGGGGUUGGAAAGCUUCGGCGGUUUUGGAUGGACUCGCGGCUUAUCAGCUUGUUGGUGGGGUAGUGGCUUACCAAGGCUUUGACGGGUAGCCGGCCUGAGAGGGCGACCGGCCACAUUGGGACUGAGAUACGGCCCAGACUCCUACGGGAGGCAGCAGUGGGGAAUAUUGCACAAUGGGCGAAAGCCUGAUGCAGCAACGCCGCGUGCGGGAUGACGGCCUUCGGGUUGUAAACCGCUUUCAGCAGGGGCGAAGCUUGUGGUGACGGUACCUGCAGAAGAAGCACCGGCUAACUACGUG